rnacentral:rRNA from 1 species
CCUACGGAGGCAGCAGUGAGGAAUAUUGGACAACGGGCGCAAGCCUGAUCCAGCCAUGCCGCGUGCAGGAUGACGGUCCUAUGGAUUGUAAACUGCUUUUGUACAGGAAGAAACCCCUUUCACGUGUGGAAGAUUGACGGUACUGUAAGAAUAAGGAUCGGCUAACUCCGUGCCAGCAGCCGCGGUAAUACGGAGGAUCCAAGCGUUAUCCGGAAUCAUUGGGUUUAAAGGGUCCGUAGGCGGUUUAGUAAGUCAGUGGUGAAAGCCCAUCGCUCAACGGUGGAACGGCCAUUGAUACUGCUAGACUUGAAUUAUUAGGAAGUAACCUAGAAUAUGUAGUGUAGCGGUGAAAUGCUUAGAGAUUACAUGGAAUACCAAUUGCAAAGGCAGGUUACUACUAAUGGAUUGACGCUGAUGGACGAAAGCGUGGGUAGCGAACAGGAUUAGNUACCCUGGUAGUCCCACGCGUACGAUAGAUACUANCUGUGGUCGCGAGU